rnacentral:rRNA from 1 species
AGUGAACGCUGGCGGUAGGCCUAACACAUGCAAGUCGAACGGCAGCACAGUAAGAGCUUGCUCUUACGGGUGGCGAGUGGCGGACGGGUGAGGAAUACAUCGGAAUCUACUUUUUCGUGGGGGAUAACGUAGGGAAACUUACGCUAAUACCGCAUACGACCUACGGGUGAAAGCAGGGGAUCUUCGGACCUUGCGCGAUUGAAUGAGCCGAUGUCGGAUUAGCUAGUUGGCGGGGUAAAGGCCCACCAAGGCGACGAUCCGUAGCUGGUCUGAGAGGAGGAUCAGCCACACUGGAACUGAGACACGGUCCAGACUCCGACGGGAGGCAGCGGUGGGGAAUGGUGGACAAUGGGCGGAAUCCUGAUCCAGCCAUACCGGGUGGGUGAAGAAGGCCUUCGGGUUGUAAAGCCCUUUUGUUGGGAAAGAAAAGCAGCAGGUUAAUACCCCGCUGUUCUGACGGUACCCAAAGAAGAAGCACCGGCUAACUUCGUG